rnacentral:rRNA from 1 species
CACGUAGGGUGCGAGCGUUGUCCGGAAUUAUUGGGCGUAAAGAGCUCGUAGGCGGUGUGUCGCGUCGGCCGUGAAAACUUGCAGCUUAACUGUGGGCGUGCGGUCGAUACGGGCAUCACUGGAGUUCGGCAGGGGAGACUGGAAUUCCUGGUGUAGCGGUGAAAUGCGCAGAUAUCAGGAGGAACACCGGUGGCGAAGGCGGGUCUCUGGGCCGAUAUUGACGCUGAGGAGCGAAAGCGUGGGGAGCGAACAGG